UUUUUUCAGACUCGAUCUCGCCAACAAUUUCAUCUCAUCUAGAGGAUUCUGCGGCUCCUAAACGAGCUGAUAGGCGGAGUAACCCUGUGAAGAUUUUCGGUCGGCAUGAGGGCUAAGGUUAGCACAACUUCAUCGAUUUAGAUUAAUUCAAAUGUAUUUUUGUAAAUCUAUCUCCGUUUUGAAGCGUAUUUUCGAUUGAUAUUUAUUAUUGCGAGAUCAUCUUUUUUCUUAUAUGAAUUAUUUUUAACUGUUUUCUUAUUCUGAAUUGUUGUAUUUUAUUGCCUACUUUCUUAUUAAAUUGAUAUUUCUCUAUCGCCUGUGGCAUUGUUCUAGUUGCGCCAUGACCUUUAUUAGAUUUGUCUUUGUGCCAAAUAUGUGUAAUCUGUCAGUGUUUAAUGAUGCAUUUUUUUAAUCCAUAUUUCCAUUAUUGUUUUCAUUAAAAUGUUAGAUGUACAAAUCAUCAGAUGUUACCUUUUAAACUGUAGAUUUACCUAAUUAAAAAAAAAAGGAAAAAGGGUUUAGGGUUUCACUUGAACUGGAAAUUGAGAGUGCUGGUUCUUGAAUCUAGAGUCCCAGAAAAAGUUGUUGAAAUGUGAUUGUUAUUUCACAUUAUAAUUUU
rnacentral:lncRNA from 1 species